AUCAUAAACCAAGUCAAACAAGAUGAACAUAUGCACUUUGUUGAGCUGAGUGGUGGAAUGGUUUUUCCAGCAGCAACACACCUGUGUAACGACAUAAUUUCCAGUGUAAAAAGGACAUAUCAAUGUUAGAGCAAAAAAUGGAAAAAAAAGUCAAGGAAACAUUCCAAACAUAGAUAUUCAAGUUCUUCGUUUGACGGAUGAAGCAACUAAGGGAAUCAACGAGAAUGCAUUGGAGGAAUGUACUUACUCAGUCUUGGACAUCGAGCUCAACAAAGUGAGUGACUUUGGACAACUGGAUGUCAUCACACGUGAUUGGGCAUAAGCCUGUCAUGUGCUUGUGAGUGUUUGUUUACUCACUUGCUCCUCUGUCAUGAUCAUCCUAAGAACGUGCCUUGCCUAGCCUGCUAGUCCCAGGAGGAUGAAAGACACGUGGAGCGGGGCCUACCUCUUCUAACCAAGUCCAGCCGAGUUCCACAGACUCCCACCUGUCACAGAUG